rnacentral:rRNA from 1 species
CACCGCGGUUAUACGAGAGACCCAAGUUGUUAGACACCGGCGUAAAGAGUGGUUAAGACCUGCCCUAUAAUACUAAAGCCGAACGCCCUCAGAGCUGUUAUACGCAUCCGAAGGUAAGAAGCCCAAUCACGAAAGUGGCUUUAUAAUGUCUGAACCCACGAAAGCUAUGAUA